rnacentral:rRNA from 1 species
CGCGGCCUAUCAGCUUGUUGGUGAGGUAGUGGCUCACCAAGGCGACGGCGGGUAGCCGGCCUGAGAGGGCGACCGGCCACACUGGGACUGAGACACGGCCCAGACUCCUACGGGAGGCAGCAGUGGGGAAUAUUGCGCAAUGGGCGAAAGCCUGACGCAGCAACGCCGCGUGCGGGAUGAAGGCCUUCGGGUUGUAAACCGCUUUCAGCAGGGAAGAAGCGAAAGUGACGGUACCUGCAGAAGAAGCACCGGCUAACUACGUGCCAGCAGCCGCGGUAAUACGUAGGGUGCAAGCGUUGUCCGGAUUUAUUGGGCGUAAAGAGCUCGUAGGCGGUUAGUCGCGUCGGAUGUGAAAACUCAAGGCUCAACCUUGAGACGCCACUCGAUACUGCUGUGACUUGAGUCCGGUAGAGGAGUGUGGAAUUCCUGGUGUAGCGGUGAAAUGCGCAGAUAUCAGGAGGAACACCAGCGGCGAAGGCGGCACUCUGGGCCGGUACUGACGCUGAGGAGCGAAAGCAUGGGGAGCAAACAGGAUUAGAUACCCUGGUAGUCCAUGCCGUAAACGUUGGGCACUAGGUAUGGGAUCAUAUCAACGGAUUCCGUGCCGUAGCUAACGCAUUAAGUGCCCCGCCUGGGGAGUACGG